rnacentral:lncRNA from 1 species
AGUCAAGGACCGCUCUUCAGUGACAUGAAAACACCAGGUGAAGAGUGCCUUUGUGUGCAGCUUCUGGAAGUUGCAGAUCACUCGCAGGUCCAUGGGCUGCAGAAGAGGCCUUAUGUUGGGGGAGGAACUUGCCCUUUAUAAAGUCAUACUCAGCAUCCAUGUCGUCCACCAAGACUGGAGGUGUGCCGGGGCUCUGUCCACCAGAAGGAGGCACCUUCAGGCAGCUGGUCGUCAGAAAGACUUUCGUUGGAAGAGCCCCUGUGAGCUCAUGACCACCAUUUCUGUCACCAGUACCAGAACGAAGGCCACUGAGCUGCAGUCCUGGCUUCUCAAUCCCUUUUAGACAUCGCCACCUGGAUAUUCCUGGUCCAAAGACAAACUCCUUUUCCUGCACCCAUGCUGCCCAUCUCACUUAAGGACACUGCCAUGUACCACGACAGACACUGAAGGGCAUCCGGAACCCCUUCUUUGCCUCACCCCUCCUUUUUUUUCCUUCUCUUUCUUUCUUUCUUUCUUUCUUUCUAGCUUUCUUGGUUUCACAAUUAUAAUGGAUGGAUUAAAGGCAGAGAAAGUUGGUUAUAAGUCUGAGGGAAUGUAGGGAAAGCAGAAGAGGGGCAAGCUUGGGGAAAUCCAGUGGCCCCAAUCUGUCCC